rnacentral:rRNA from 1 species
UACGAAGGGUGCAAACGUUGCUCGGAAUUAUUGGGCGUAAAGGGCUCGUAGGCGGCCAACUAAGUCAGACGUGAAAUCCCUCGGCUUAACCGGGGAACUGCGUCUGAUACUGGAUGGCUUGAGGUUGGGAGAGGGAUGCGGAAUUCCAGGUGUAGCGGUGAAAUGCGUAGAUAUCUGGAGGAACACCGGUGGCGAAGGCGGCAUCCUGGACCAAUUCUGACACUGAGGAGCGAAAAGCCAGGGGAGCAAACGGGG